CCUACGGGAGGCAGCAGUGAGGAAUAUUGGUCAAUGGGCGGGAGCCUGAACCAGCCAAGUCGCGUGCGGGAAGACGGUCCUAUGGAUUGUAAACCUCUUUAGUCGGGGAGCAAUGCCGGGCACGCGUGCCCGGAGGGAGAGUACCCGCAGAAUAAGCAUCGGCUAACUCCGUGCCAGCCGCCGCGUUAAUACGGAGGAUGCGAGCGUUAUCCGGAUUUAUUGGGUUUAAAGGGUGCGUAGGCGGAUUUUUAAGUCAGCGGUAAAAUGUCCGGGCUCAACCCGGGCCGGCCGUUGAAACUGGGGAUCUUGAGUGGGCGAGAAGUAUGCGGAAUGCGUGGUGUAGCGGUGAAAUGCAUAGAUAUCACGCAGAACUCCGAUUGCGAAGGCAGCAUACCGGCGCCCGACUGACGCUGAGGCACGAAAGCGUGGGGAUCGAACAGGAUUAGAUACCCCAGUAGUC
rnacentral:rRNA from 1 species